CAAAAGAACUUCCUCAGGGACCGCAGUAACGUGGUAUUUUUUUUUUACAGGUUACUUACAUUUAUUUUAACAGUACUGCGGUCCCUGAGGAAGUUCUUUU